GUGCUCACUGUGGCAGCACAUACAACAAAAACUGAUGUUAUGUAGAUAAGAUGAGCAUGGCCCCUGAGCAAAGAUGAUGUACAAAUUCACAGAGUUCCAUGUUAAA
ensembl:snRNA U6 U6 spliceosomal RNA